UUCAUUAUUUAUUGGCAUAUUCAGUAUUUCAAGAGAAACUGUGUCUGAUUUUUCAACUUGAUGCAUGUAUUAUGGUCUUAUAGUUUUUUAGUCACCAAAGUGGCCAAACUAAAAUUUAUAAAAUUAUUCAUAUACCCAAAAUUUUAUUAUAUUAUGUAUGCAUUUGUACUUAUAUAGUUUGUUAGUCACCAAAGUGGCCAAACUAGAUAAAUUAACGCCUACACAUAUCAUGCUUUUGAUCACUUGAUGCAUGUAUUAUGUUUCUAUAGUUUGUUAGUCACCAAAGUGGCCAAACUAAAAUGUAUAAAAUUAUUCACAUGCACAAAAUUUUAUGAUAUUAUGUGUGCAUUUGUAUUUAUAUAGUUUGCUAGUCACCAAAGUGGUCAAACUAGUAUGAUUAAGAAGAAUGUGCAUUCAUAAAAUUGUCAUUUAUCUAUGAAGGUUAAUUAAAUGCCUAUAUAUUGAAAAAUAAAUAGAUAAAUUGACUUUCACUAUUGGUAGAACUUAAGAAUUUACCCAAAGGUGAAUCAAUCAUUCUACGAAUAGUGAAAAUUAUGAGGUAAAUUAAUCUUUUUAGUCAAACAUAUAUUGUAUAUCCAAAGAUGUCGUAUAUGUUUGAUUAAAAAUAUUCAAUUACCUAUUAAAGAUAAAAUUGGCAUUUAAAUUAUGAUAAUGUGUCGUAAUAUCUACCCAAAGGAGAAUUACGAUAUAUUUUUAUCGCUUUACUGAAUUCACAUUAUUUUCUGAUUUGUGAGCAUGUAUAUCUAUUUUGCAGUUAUUCCUCUUCAUUCGCAUGCUUCGUCUGUUACUGUGUUCAAUGGAUUGAACUU
rnacentral:lncRNA from 1 species